UCCAACCCCCUAUCCAGCCAGCCAUGUAGCCCCCCACAGGAGAACACAGGGAGAAGGCAGAUAUCUGAAAGCCAGAGGACAGCCUCACCAAGAACUGAGCUGGCCAGCACUUUAUUCUGGGACUUCCUGCUUUCCAGAACUAUUUGCCAAACUCCUUAUCAACAAAGGAAAGUGCACUUGGCAUUCAGAGGGGCUGGGGUCUGGGCUCCGAAUGGGGCUGCUGAGGUGGCCAGUCCCAGACACAGGCAUCACCUCCAGGAUGGACCACCAGAGACCAGGCACUACAGAGAGCCGCUUGCUUCUCCCCUCUCUUCCCCACGCGGAGUCCCUUCUCACAGUGAAGAUUUGGUUGCAAGCCCAUGUUUCCAUGUCCCAUCUUCAACAACCCCUGAACCCUUGACCCCCUUCUCUGUGUGCAGAUAUUUGGGAGAACGGAAGAGAUCAAGAGAUCCGGUCACUGGGGGAUUAGCUGCCCUGGGGCUUACAAACCUUGGGCCCCUGGGAGUAACUGCUGUGUCAAAGUGGCCCCUCCCCUGUCCUCCUGGAAGUUCCGUCCCUUCCCUAACAGCUCUGUUACCCAACACCCAGUCGGGAGAGCGGCCAGUUUGUGCUGUGGGUGAUCUCAUUAGAAUGGAGGAGGUGAGUCAACAGAGACAAAGGCCUUCUAGCCUGCAAUCUGAGAAGAGGGUUAAGAAGAACAAAGCCAAGGGGAGAAAUGUAACCAAGAACUAUCUCUUUAUUGCUUUUGAGUUGUUUAAGGGGGUUUUAAGGGAUUAAGGCUAAAGAAACGUUGGCUGUAAGCAGAGGAGCGGUAUCAGCGGAACAGAGCUUUGUGCUGACUCAGAGGAGAAGCAGCAAAAGGAAAUGUCAGCAGAGGUGGCGGCAGGGGCCGGGCUGGGAGCUAACGAGUUCUGGAGGCUGGAGGUCUGAGAUCAGAGUGAGAGCUCCCCCAAAUUCCUGAAGGAAACCCUGGGAGGAACCUCACCAUAAGCACCAAGAAGGGCCGAGGCCGUGUGGGAGCAGAGUGGGAGCUGACAGCUGCCCACACCUCACUGUCCCUCCCAUCCUUGCAGCCAGCCUGCCAGGUAGAACGUGCCUGAGCUGGAGCUCCAUCACAGCAGGCCGGCGGCCUACCCUGGCAGACACCCACCUGCCUGCUGCCUGCUUCCCACCAGCCACGUUCGCUUCCUCUUGAAAGCCCAUCCGGAACUUUCCGCACAGCCUAGGACCUGCCAGCAGGAAGCUGGAGAAGAGGGUUGCUCACCUUUCUUGGCUCUUUCUCUUUCUAAUCUGCAAGAGGAGUUGGGAAACGGAUGUGCCUAGUGAUUAUCUCAUUAUCAGUUUACCCGAACAACCACAAUUACCAAGGAAGAUGAAUCUUGACAGAAAAAAAAGAAACCCACAGGCUCACUCUCUCCUGGGCCCUGAUCCUCCGCGGGAAAGUUGGGUAAGAUCUCAAGUUGCUGCAGCUGAAGCCAGAGACAAUCUGUACUCUAACUCAGAGGGUUUCCUUCAUAACUUUAAAAGAUGAAUAGCUGGAUGCACAACGUGGGACAUCAGCAAGCAGAUUCUCUUUCCUUUGUGUGGUGACUGAUGCCCUGGGACAAGUCCAGGAACAAGUCCAGCACAGGGAGUCUGUAAGGAGUAGGAAGGGCUGGAACUGGGCUGGAGGAGCUGAUCUCAAGGUCCUGCUGGACACCAGGCUGCCGCCAGCGUGAGGAGUGAAGGCAGCUGCUGUGGCACCCUGUGGAUGAGACCAGUGGGCACCUGGUGUGAGGUGCUGAGCCUAGAGUCUGUCCACACCUCUCCCCUGCUUGGGCUCCAGGUCACUCACAGAGGCCUCAGCCUCAGGAAGAAAGCCAGAGAGGGGUGGGAUGGUUCAGAGAGACCUACAGGGCCACGUUCAGCUAGGCCUUGCGUCCAGCAUUAAGCACAUUACUGUGACCUGUGUGUUGGACGCACACUAGAGGGAUCUGAGCUCUGACUUAUGUUCCUAGAAGACCAUCUGGCUGUUGUCCAGAGGAGGUGUAUAGGGGAUGGCAAGAGUGGGCAGAGAGGCCUAUGGAGAGUCCACUGUAGAGGUCCAGACUGGGCAGAGUGGUAGUGAAGGUCAGCGAGGAAUCAUCGUGGAGACCAAGGGACACGUUUAUUAGACUUGCUGAUGGAUUAGAUAUGGGGAGCAGGAGGGAGGGAGACAUCAGCAUUGAUUUCCCCUGUAUUUGAACUUGAGGAACUAACUAGAUGGCUGUAAUGGAGAAGUUUAGGGAGGAGUUGGUGGGAGAGUAGAUGACCUAGAGAGUCACAUCCUGGCUCAGCCGUGUCAUGUCUCAGGCAUUAAAUUGCCAAGCGGAGUCCUCAAGUGGACAGGAAAGUGUGUGGCAUUCUCCUGAUAGGCCUGGGCAAGCAGUGUGAGCUUGCCAGCGUGUAGACGAGGUUUAAUGCUGUGUCUAGGGUGUGGGUGGCCAGAGGUGCCGACUUAGGAUCCAGCUCUCUCCCUCCAAGUGACAGAUAGACCCAAGGGCCUGUGUCAGCCAAGGUCCAGUGGAGAGGCAGACCCCACCUACAGGAUUUAAAGAGGUAGGGUGCUCAUGAAGAGCUUCACCUGCACACUGCAUAGUCCACUGGGCUGGAGACAAGGACAAGGACCUGCUUGCCGCAGUCUGGCUGGGCACAAAAUCACGAGCCACUCAAGCAGGAACAAACUUUUAUUUCUGAAACUCCUGCCAAUGCCACGCCCGCUACCGGGAAAUAUGCCGAACCACACAUGCGGCAUUCUCCCGGGCCACACUACACCAACAGGAAAAUCCCUUCUCCGGAAAUCCCUCCUACCGCAUUUCCCCAACCAAUGGGAACUCUUAGGGAGUCCCGCUAGAGCUCCAAAGUAGCAGGCCAAGGCAGACAGCAGGUUCUAAUAUCCAAUUGAAUGCAGUUCUUAACAUAAUCAUAUCAUCUCAAUGUCUUGCUGGCAUGCCUUUGUUUCCAAACACUGUCCUUCCGCAUGCUGUGCAGUGGUGAGUCAGAUCCUCCUCUGUGUUGGGACCAGUCACCCCAUGGCUACCAGAACAGGACACUCUUCCUUGCCUGUUUGGGGGGUUCUGCAGGUCACAUUCCUUCCUCACGCUGUCCUGGGUUGGGCUUCGCCAGUGCAAAGCUCCAGAGCCUGCCUUCAGGAUGGGGUGCAAUGGGGCGCCCCCUCGGUGUGUGCUUCCCUGCCUGUGAGUGACACCCAGGGGCAUCUUCCUGUGGCAGCAGCAGUUCCUUUCAGCAGAAGCUUUGCAUUUGGUGUGACAGUUGCUGUGGACCCCCCUCAGAGACUACAGCCCUGGCAGGGCAGGUACUGUCCCAGCCCUGCUCUGAGUUCCCAGGUUCUGAACGUUCUACCCUUCCUCUGCUGCCUCCUGCAGUUAGCGGGUGCUGAGAGCCAUAGCCCCAGCACCACCCAGCUGCGCCCAGAGCCUCCGUGAUUGACGACUGGCACAGCCGCCCUGAACACUCUUGGGCACACUUGUGAAUUCGCACAGCCACAAGUGGCUCUGCGCUGCCCUCCCCACCACGACUACCUACAGACAGACGGUGCGGCUCUCACGGGGCAUACCAAGGAGGUGCCAAUCCCCAGUCAGGCGCUUCCUGCCUAUGCCACUCGAUCCAUUCAAAACCCUAUCUGAAUGUUCUACCUAGAUACUAAAAUAUGAAGUUAAUCUGUGACAAAACUUAUCCACCACAGUAAGUAAAGACCAGAGCGUCCUUAGCAUGUGCACAUCCACGUGAGGAAGCUGUCUACAGACGGUCGGGCGCCUAGUCCUGGUCAGGAGGUGGUGGCUGAAAUGCAUGAACGUCCUCCUCCAGCCGGUCAGGACCCUUUACCUGUAGAGUGACGCUCAGAAGAUCUGAACCUGCCCAGGGCUUGCCCACAUCUGCUGAGGCUUCCAAUUCACUUUAACUGCUAGACGUGGGCACCCAAAGGUGCCUUUGCUUCCAAACACUGUCCUUCCGCACACUGUGCUAUGGUGAGUCAGAUCCUCCUCAGUGUUGGGACCAGUCACUCCAUGGCCACCAGAACAGGACCCUCUUCCUUGCCUGUUUGGGUCUCCAGCCUGGGCAGUCCAGUGGCCAAGUGGCCGGUUCCUCUACCGCUGGACAUUUUCUUUUGGGAAUAAGGCUUCCCAAUCAACAGAUCUCGCCAGGCAUGGUGGCACAUGCCUGUGAUUCCAGAAGCUACGGAGGCUGAGGCAGGAAGGUUGCAAGUUUGAGACUAGCCUCAACAACUUAAGAGAGGCCCUAAGCCAUGAAG